GACAGAGGGUGCAAACGUUGCUCGGAAUCACUGGGCGUAAAGGGCGUGUAGGCGGGAAGGAAAGUCAGAUGUGAAAUCCCCAGGCUCAACCUGGGAACUGCAUUUGAAACUCCCUUUCUUGAGUACCGGAGAGGAAAGUGGAAUUCCUGGUGUAGAGGUGAAAUUCGUAGAUAUCAGGAGGAACACCAGUGGCGAAGGCGCCACUCUGGGCCGGUACUGACGCUGAGGAGCGAAAGCGUGGGGAGCGAACAGG
rnacentral:rRNA from 1 species